rnacentral:lncRNA from 1 species
AAUAAAGUUAGCAUUUACUGAGUGCUGUUGAUAGGAUGACCUAAGUGCUUUCCAUGUCUUAAGUUAUUCACACAUCCCCACACUCCUAUAAGGUGUUGCCCAGGAGGGUAAGUAGCUUGUCCAAUUUAUUGCAGAGGAGGAAAGUUUCAGGUAGCUGCCCAAGGCCACAGUGAGUCAGGGACCGGGCUGGGAUUUGAACCAGGCAGUCUGGCUCCGAGCGCACCCCCUGGUGGACCACUAGAUGGAUUGCCCUUCUGGAUAGUGUGACAUUUUGCAAAGAGCACUGGUCACCUGGGUUAUAAUCUUGGCUCUGCCACUGACUUUCUGGGUAAGCUCAGGAGAAUCACUCAACUCCUCUGGGCAUUGGUGAAACAAGAGUGCUGUCUGGAUCCUCUCUAAGAUUCAUGCUAGCUGGAGGAUUCUAGAAACCCCUUUGUUCUUCCUCGACCAGUUACAUCUCCUCUCCUACCCCAUCUUCCCACUCUUGACACAGAACACAGGUAGUGUUUCGGCAGAAAGAGGUAAUUUUCUGGUGCAAAGGAAAACUUUAAUGCCGACUCCCUUUCAGGGAGGAGGUGGGCAGCUGGUUUGCAGCUGGUGCCAACUCUUGAAAUAUGCUCAUUGCAGGUAUGGUUAUCCCCAGUCAGCAAAGAUACUCUGUGAUCCCAGCAGUCAUCAGAAGUCCAUCCUCGUAAUGCCUCAUCACACUUCCUGACUAUAUCUGCAGUGCUGCAUGAAGUACACAAAUAGGAGAGCAAGAGGAAAGAGAAGAGGACCCAGGAUUACAUUUUGAGGAACACUUUUAAGAAGCCAAGAGGUGAAGUCUUUAAAAGAGGGUGGUGAGCAUCAGUAUAUGAAAGCUUAGGUAGAUAAAGUCUGAGAACAGGGUAGCACUUGACUGCUUGUGUAGAAAAAGGCAUUUUUGGUGGGAGCAUCCUUAUCCUCUUCCAUCUCUUAGCCCAUAAGUUACAGCUGGGUUGUCAGCUUAGCUGAUUGACAUGCUUUCCAUUUCAUGAGACACAGAGAACUUGAGACAAUGUCUUCCCGAGGGAAGGGGGGAG